CAGUAGCCACGGGAAUACGUAGGGUGCAAGCGUUAUCCGGAAUUAUUGGGCGUAAAGAGCUCGUAGGCGGUUUGUCGCGUCUGCUGUGAAAACUGGAGGCUCAACCUCCAGCCUGCAGUGGGUACGGGCAAACUAGAGUGCGGUAGGGGAGAUUGGAAUUCCUGGUGUAGCGGUGGAAUGCGCAGAUAUCAGGAGGAACACCGAUGGCGAAGGCAGAUCUCUGGGCCGUAACUGACGCUGAGGAGCGAAAGCAUGGGGAGCGAACAGGAUUAGAUACCCCUGUAGUCCCUGUCUCUUAUAC
rnacentral:rRNA from 1 species